UACGAAGGGGGCUAGCGUUGUUCGGAAUUACUGGGCGUAAAAGCGCGCGCAGGCGGCUAUCCAAGUCAGUGGUGAAAGCCCGGAGCUCAACUCCGGAAUUGCCAUUGAAACUGUUUAGCUUGAGGACGAGAGAGGUGAGUGGAAUUCCCAGUGUAGAGGUGAAAUUCGUAGAUAUUGGGAAGAACACCGGUGGCGAAGGCGGCUCACUGGCUCGUUUCUGACGCUCAGGCGCGACAGCGUGGGGAUCAAACAGG
rnacentral:rRNA from 1 species